AGAGUUUGAUUCUGGCUCAGAACGAACGCUGGCAGCGUGGAUUAGGCAUGCAAGUCGAACGGGAAGCGGUUACUUCAAGUUUUCGGACGAGAAGCGACCGUGGAGAGUGGCGAAAGGGUGAGUAACGCGUGGGCAAUCUGCCCUUAAGUUGGGGACAACCAGCCGAAAGGCUGGCUAAUACCGAAUGUGGUCCGGUCUCGCAUGUGACCAGGAUUAAAGACGGGGAUUCUUCGGAACCUGUCGCUUGAGGAGGAGCCCGCGUCCCAUCAGUUAGUUGGUAGGGUAACGGCCUACCAAGGCUUACGGGUAGCUGGUCUGAGAGGAUGGUCAGCCACACUGGGACUGAGACACUGCCCAGACUCCUACGGGAGGCUGCAGUCGAGGAUCAUUCGCAAUGCGCGAAAGCGUGACGAUGCGACGCUGCGUGGAGGAUGACGGCCUUCGGGUUGUAAACUCCUGUCAUUCGGGAAAAAUAGCAGGAGGGGAUAAUAUCUCUUCUGCAUGAUGGUACCGAAAGAGGAAGCCACGGCUAACUCUGUGCCAGCAGCCGCGGUAAUACAGAGGUGGCGAGCGUUGUUCGGAUUUACUGGGCGUAAAGCGUACGUAGGCGGUUUUAUGUGUCGGAUGUGAAAGCCCACGGCUCAACCGUGGAACUGCAUCCGAAACUAUAGGACUAGAGUGCAGGAGGGGAGAGCGGAAUUCUUGGUGUAGCGGUGAAAUGCGUUGAUAUCAAGAAGAACACCGGUGGCGAAGGCGGCUCUCUGGAAUGUUACUGACACUGAGGCACGAAAGCUGGGGGAGCGAACAGGAUUAGAUACCCUGGUAGUCCCAGCCGUAAACGGUGCACACUU
rnacentral:rRNA from 1 species